UACCAGCACCCCGAGUGGUCGGGACGAUUAUUGGGCCUAAAGCAUUCGUAGCCGGUUCUACAAGUCUUCCGUUAAAUCCACCUGCUUAACAGAUGGGCUGCGGAGGAUACUAUAGAGCUAGGAGGCGGGAGAGGCAAGCGGUACUUAGUGGGUAGGGGUAAAAUCCGUUGAUCCAUUGAAGACCACCAGUGGCGAAGGCGGCUUGCCAGAACGCACUCGACGGUGAGGGAUGAAAGCUGGGGGAGCAAACCGG
rnacentral:rRNA from 1 species